GACGAACGCUGGCGGCGUGCCUAAUACAUGCAAGUUGAGCGCUGAAGGUUGGUACUUGUACCGACUGGAUGAGCAGCGAACGGGUGAGUAACGCGUGGGGAAUCUGCCUUUGAGCGGGGGACAACAUUUGGAAACGAAUGCUAAUACCGCAUAAAAACUUUAAACACAAGUUUUAAGUUUGAAAGAUGCAAUUGCAUCACUCAAAGAUGAUCCCGCGUUGUAUUAGCUAGUUGGUGAGGUAAAGGCUCACCAAGGCGAUGAUACAUAGCCGACCUGAGAGGGUGAUCGGCCACAUUGGGACUGAGACACGGCCCAAACUCCUACGGGAGGCAGCAGUAGGGAAUCUUCGGCAAUGGACGCAAGUCUGACCGAGCAACGCCGCGUGAGUGAAGAAGGUUUUCGGAUCGUAAAACUCUGUUGGUAGAGAAGAACGUUGGUGAGAGUGGAAAGCUCAUCAAGUGACGGUAACUACCCAGAAAGGGACGGCUAACUACGUG
rnacentral:rRNA from 1 species